rnacentral:lncRNA from 1 species
UUAUCUUUUUCAUUCAUUGUUUUAUCUUCAGUGCCUAGAAGAGUGCUGGAUACAUUGUAGGUGCUCAAUAACUAUUUCUUGAAGAUUGAAUGUUUAUUUAAAUAAAGGGAUGAAGUCAAUCAACUUCCAAGAGGAACUAGGACCCCAACCAACUACUAUGCGUUGCUCUCAGAUGGUGUGUAAGGCCACCCUUGCUGAUGAGGCUGCACGCGUAAUGAGCUGAGCUGCUGCCUUCAGAAGAAGCCAGAGAAAAGAACCCCAAGACAUGAGACUAUCCAGGCUACAGCAACUCCAGCAGUCUCCUUACCUGGCAGAAAGGAGCACACUCUGCUACAAUGACAUGGAAUUUCCUCUUUCGGGCAGCCUCUUUGAGGAAGGCCUCUACUGUUCGGGAGAAGCCAAUGGUCAUGAUCACCUCAUUGGAGUGAAUGUGCUCCAGAGCCUGGGCUGCAAUGUUCUCCAUUGUCCCUUCUGUAAGAACGGUUUUGC